AUUGAACGCUGGCGGCAGGCCUAACACAUGCAAGUCGAACGAGUGGCGGACGGGUGAGUAAUGUCUGGGAAACUGCCUGCUGGAGGGGGAUAACUACUGGAAACUGUAGCUAAUAACGCCUACCAUCGGAUGUGCCCGGAUGGGAUUAGCUAGUAGGUGGGGUAAAGUCUCACCUAGGCGACGAUCCCUAGCUGGUCUGAGAGGAUGACAGUCCACACUGGAACUGAGACACGGUCCAGACGCCUACGUGCGGCAGCAGGGGGGAAUAUUGCACAAUGGGCGCAAGCCUGAUGCAGCCAUGCCGCGUGUAUGAAGAAGGCCUUCGGGUUGUAAAGUACUUUCAGCGGGGAGGCGUUACCCGCAGAAGAAGCACCGGCUAACUCCGUGCCAGCAGCCGCGGUAAUUC
rnacentral:rRNA from 1 species